rnacentral:rRNA from 1 species
AGCAGUCGCCACGGUAAUACGUAGGGUGCAAGCGUUAAUCGGAAUUACUGGGCGUAAAGCGUGCGCAGGCGGUUAUAUAAGACAGAUGUGAAAUCCCCGGGCUCAACCUGGGAACUGCAUUUGUGACUGUAUAGCUAGAGUACGGCAGAGGGGGAUGGAAUUCCGCGUGUAGCAGUGAAAUGCGUAGAUAUGCGGAGGAACACCGAUGGCGAAGGCAAUCCCCUGGGCCUGUACUGACGCUCAUGCACGAAAGCGUGGGGAGCAAACAGGAUUAGAUACCCCAGUAGUCCCUGUCUCUUAUAC